rnacentral:rRNA from 1 species
CAGCCGCCGCGGGAAAACGGAGGGUGCAAGCGUUAAUCGGAAUUACUGGGCGUAAAGCGUGCGUAGGCGGUUCGUUAAGUCUGUUGUGAAAGCCCCGGGCUCAACCUGGGAAUGGCAAUGGAUACUGGCGAGCUAGAGUGUGUCAGAGGAUGGUGGAAUUCCCGGUGUAGCGGUGAAAUGCGUUGAGAUCGGAAGGAACGCCCGUGGCGAAAGCGGCGUGCUGGACCUUCUCUGACGCUGAGGCACGAAAGCUAGGGGAGCAAACGGGAUUAGAUACCCCUGUAGUCCCUGUCUCUUAUAC